rnacentral:rRNA from 1 species
AUUGAACGCUGGCGGCAUGCCUUACACAUGCAAGUCGAACGGCAGCACGGGGGCAACCCUGGUGGCGAGUGGCGAACGGGUGAGUAAUAUAUCGGAACGUGCCCUGGAGUGGGGGAGUAACGUAGCGAAAGACUACGCUAAUACCGCAUACGAUCUACGGAUGAAAGUGGGGGAGUCGCAAGACCUCAUGCUCGUGGAGCGGCCGAUAUCUGAUUAGCUAGUUGGUAGGGUAAAGCCUACCAAGGCAUCGAUCAGUAGCUGGUUUGAGAGAACGACCAGCCACACUGGGACUGAGACACGGCCCAGACUCCUACGGGAGGCAGCAGUGGGGAAUUUUGGACAAUGGGCGCAAGCCUGAUCCAGCAAUGCCGCGUGUGUGAAGAAGGCCU